GCCCCGCCCCCGCGGCUCGGGCGCGUCCGCCGGCGGGGCCCGAAAGGGGGCAGGGCCGCGCGGGGCCGCGGCGGCGCCGGAGUCUGCGGGGCCGGAGCGCACCUCCUGGCGGGCGUCAGGGAGGCGCGGGCCGAGCCAGGUGCGCGCGGACUCACCGGGGUGCGCACGGCGAUGCGAGGACCCGUACAGCCACGCGCGUUCAGACCUAGGAGCGCCUGCCAGGUACGCGCCGACUGACCCCCGUACAGUCCCGGUCGCGCUGAGUGAAUCAGGCACACAGAGGUCGGUCCACGCACCGUUAGAGCCUGGUGGGACAGAUUAUCAGCGCUUCUGCAGUGGUAUUGGCAAAGGACCUUCGAUGAGCCACUUGUCUUUAGAACAGAGGACGCAGGAAGGCUUCGAGCUGAACACCAGGCAGGACUUCUCAAUUAUGAGGGAUGUCAGACCUCAGAGAGGAAGGCCGAACUGGGACCUUCCCAUCCAGGAGAGCCCCAAGAUGAGGUUUCUGAGGCCCAGAGGCAUGAAGUGUCUUCUCAAACCCACCCGGCCAGUGAGGACCACACCAAGAACUGGAAUCUCGGUCUUUGGUUCGAAGUCCAGCACAGUUUCCACGGUGAGGAAACUGAGGCACAGAGAGGUCAAAUAUUUUGCCCAAGGUCAUACACGAAGUGAAUGGCAGAGCUGAGACCCAAACUUGGCAUUCUACCUCCAGAGUCUGUUCUUUGAUCUACUAUACUGCGUGCCAAACCAGUAAGGCACUGGAUUUGGUUUUUCCUCUAGGUUCUGCCACUCAGAUGAACCACCUUACCCUGCCCGUCUACCCAUCCUUCCAUCCAUCCAUGCACCGUUUCAUUCAGCAAAUAUUUAUUGAAUACAUCUGCUAUGUGCCCACCAUUGUGCCAGAUGAGAAAAUAGAGGCCACAGAGAGAUUAUUACCUCAUGCUGUUCCCUGGGUAAAUGGGGAAACUAAGGCUGGCCCAGACACCACUGGAAGGAGGUCAUGGAAGAGACUGUAUUAUGAGUAUAAGAAGAGGAGCAUUGGAAAUUCCAAGGACAUUCUGGCUGUAGCCUUGAGAGAAUUAUUUUACUUCUCCAAACUUAUUCUUUCUUAUCUAAACAGUAGGAUAAUUAUGUCUUAUUGGAAGCUUCAAUGCAAGGAUCAGGUGAACUCAUAUAAGUAAAAUGCCUAGUGUAUGAUAGAUAAUCAAUAAACAGAAGCUGUCAUUAUUAAUUACCUAAUUGCUCCCUCCUUUGUGCUCUUUCUGUUUCAGAUGCUUCCCUUCCAGAGCCUUAUCAGACUUUUUAAUGAUCUUAUCAUAUAUCUGUCUUGCUGUUGUACUCUGAGCCCCUCAAAGGCAAUAGCCAGCUCUUACCCACUUCUGAGCUCUUUAGCUGACAGAUGGGAGGUUCCAUAUGAAGGGUUGAAAGGAAGCUGUUUGCCCAAGUGGACAAGCUAAUAAGUGCAAGAGCCCAGGUCCCUCCCCAAGAUGCUAUGCAGACUUGUAUGAUCAGUGAUCCAUGGUCAGGGAGGUGGGUGGUGGAAGACCCCAACCGCGGCCUGUGACUGCCUGUGUGGGGAGUUGCAGGUUGCUGGGGCAUGGAGGAGGGAAAAUGGGGAUGGGAGUCAAUGAGCUGUCCUGGGCCUGAGCUCACAGGCUCAGUAAAGAGGGCACUUAUAGAAGAUGGACAAGGCAGGGCCCAGUGAGCAGUGAGAUGUGAAGGUUCACGAAAGGGAGGACUCCAGCUUGACUCCUAGGUUACCUUGGAAUACAGGAGGGAUAUGAGAGUAUGUGGAUAGGAGGGGAGGAUCAUGAAUUCGAUUUUGAAAUGCUCAAGGAGAGGAGUUCAUAGGACAGGUCUCUAAGGGUCUCUAGCAGGCAUUUGUCUGUAAGGAGUUGUGUGCAGGGUGCUGAUAUCUGCCACAACUUAUGAUCCUAUGACAUGGUUGUUCACUGAACUGGCAAAGUAUAGCUCUAGAGUUGGAUUGUAGGACUUGAAUCCUGGCUCUAUGGUAACUAGCUAGCUGUGUGUGACUUUGGGCAUGUUACUUAACCUCUCUGGGUCUCAGUUUCAUUUUCUGUAAAAAUUUUCUGAAAAAUUUUCUGUAAAAAUUUUCUGGAAAAAAUUCCAUUUCUGUAAAAGGAGGAUGAUUGGAAAUUACCUCCUAGCAUGUUGUUAUAAAGGUCAAAUGAAAUAAAAUAAAUCAAUGAAGGAGCAUAGUAAGAGCUCAAUAAAUGAUGCUCAUUGUUAUUAGCUGUUCCUGCUGCCAGAAUGCUGACCACCCCCCCUUGUCUUGGCACCUUCCUCCCUAUUUCAGCCUUGCCCAUCCCACCAGUACUAGAUACUCAGCUACUCAUCAUAGGUACUCUAAACCUCUCCAUUCUUCAGAGACCCCUGUUCCUUAAGCAUCCCCUUCAACCCUUUGGGUAACUGACCAAGGAGAAGCAGAGAGUUGUCACUUGUGUUCCUCCAGUGAGAGGUCACUUGAGUUUUAAUUGUAUCUUCAGUGCCUUGACCCAUGGGUGUGACUAAUGGUGGGAAUAUUUGACAGGAUGAUAGGGUUAGGGCAGUUGUUUUGGAGGUAGAGAGAUUUUUCUGGUGCUGGUCAGACCAACACAUUCAGAAGUCAUCUACUCUGUCUUCAUGUAUGAAUAUUGUUAAUGAAUAUAAAGCUCAGACUGAGAGGGAAUCUGGAAGUUCUCACUUGGGAUUAAGUGGGGUUGGGGCACUUCAUGCCCUUUCGAUUGGGAGGUCUUCUGGCAAACUCUGCAAUCCUCCCAGUAGGACCAGGAUGCUCUGGGAUUAUUCCAUCUCUCCCUCUGUUCUACUCCCAGCUUCCAGGAAGGCAGGGAAGUAGUGGACAACUGCCUGAUGUAUAACACAUAUCCAAAAUGUGGAAAGGAAGGAGGAGAAAGCCAUUACCCAAGGAUUGGGAAGCCCAUGUUUAAGUCCUGCUCCUACCUUUACCAGGUGUGUAGUCUUAGACAAGUAACUUCCCUUCUCUGAGUCUCAGUUGCCUAUGAAUGGGGUGGUUAUACCGGAAUCCUUUAGCAGACCAAACAUUUAGACGAGUAUGUUCCCUUGGCUAUUGCAGAAAUUGAAGCCCAGACUGCAAAGGGGCUUGCUCGAAGUCAUGAAGCCAGAGUUUGGCUGCAAAACCAAGUCAUGUGGUAGUGCUUAGUCAAGUGUUGCAAGAGGGUAAGGGAUGGUGUUGUAUUGGUAUGGGACAGAUCUAAUUUACUUGCUUAGGCUCUCAGACCCAUGGAAGGGAAGGAGACUCCCCCUCUGCUGAAUCAUUUACCGCUACAUUUUCAAAGCCAGUGGGAAUUCUUAGAGGAAGCUGUAAGGCCCAGAGACUUUGACAGUGUAUAUGUGCCUCAGGGGUCAUCACAAAGCUCUGGUCACAAACAAGUUGCAGGCUGCCUUUGAAGCUCUUCCCAGUGACUCUGCAAAGUUUUAGGUCUCAACUCAGCUACAAAAUGAAUGAAUUGCUCAUCUCACCAGCACGGAGCACAUUUGGGCCAGACUUCUUGGUCAGUUUUAUGGGGCCAAUACAUCUGCAGAAGCACUUACCCGUCACUCUGCAGACGGAAUGCAUUAUUUUGGAAAACUUUCUUUUCCCUUUUCCCCCCAAAACUUUUAUUCCCUGGCAGAAAUGGUUUAUCAACGUCUUUAAAAAGCCGCUCAGAUCUUCUUGGCAACCCCUGAUACCAUAAAAGAGUGGCAGUACGAAUGCAAAUGAAUUGGAGGGCAUUAAAAAACCCUCUUGCUUCGGCAGCUGAAGUGGAGAAGGGCCGGAUGAUGGAUAGCACACGGCUUUCCGUUGAGCGAUUUUGCUCCUUUUACGGCUGCCAAUGGCUGAUGUAUUUCAUCUUUUGUUUCCUUUCCUGCCGCUUAAGCAAGCACCCUCAGGCUGGGGCUAUGUCCCCGGGCACCCACUUCAUCUUGCCCCUCUGGGACAGCUUCAGCCAGCUGUUUUGCACUUACUGCCUGAUUCAGGGAAGGCAUGGGAUGGCCCAGCUGGAUGGGGCCCUGGGGGAGUGCCCCUCCUAUAAUUGCUGAGCUCAGGAGCAGAGACUGCUGAAGAGGUGGAAAUCCUCCCCAUGCCAUUUUCUAUUCCACCCGUGUUUACUGAGGCCCGCUGCAUGUGCAACACUGUGCCAGGCACAGGGAGGACACCAUGAAGUGGAGGACACAGCCCAGACUUCAAUGAUCUUUCCCUCCUGUUGGGAGGGAACUCACCCCCGAACAGCUACACACACAUACAUGCACAUGGCUAAGGCUUGCAAGGCUUCCUGCACCCACUCUUACCCAUGUGUGUUCGGGUACAUGCUCACACUCACCUACAUGUUAGCACAAAUGUAUAUGGACACAGUCACCCACAGAGAUGCAAGAGUACACACCCGGAUGUGCCCAGAAACACGCAACCAAGCCCCACCAACUCUCAAACCCACAGGCACCUGCAAACAUGCACAGACAAACACAAAAGUAUUCUCCUGUACACCCACACAUGAGGAAGUUAAAAGAUAAUACAGAACCAUGUAUGAUCUGAAGCCAGAACGAGAGGGGAGAUGAGAGAGGAUUCAGGGGAUGUCACUGAAGAAAUAACGCUGAUGUAGGAAGUUUGCCUUUGAGACUCAUCUCAGUCUCCUACUAUCUGUGUGACCUUGCUCAGUCUCAACCUCUCUGAGUCUCAGCUUCCUUAUUUGAUUUUUUUUUUUUAAUUUGAGAGAGAGAGAGUAUGUGUGAGCUGUGGGAGGGGCAGAGGAAGAGAAUCUCAAGCAGACUCCCUGCUGAACACGGAGCCCAACGCAGAGCUAGAUCUCACGACCCUGAGAUCAUGCAUGACCUGAGCCAAAACCAAGAGUCAAACGCUUAACUGACUGAGCCACCCAGGGGGCCUGCAGCUUCCUUAUUUGACAUGAGGCCCCUCCAGAUACCAGAGCCUAUGAUUUUGUGAAAUCAGAAGUUCAGAAGUCAAUGUGAGCUGAUGUAAUAAUAGUUACAGUAAUACCAAUAAUAGCUAAUUAUAUUGAGCACUUACAGUGUGCUCUGCACUGUGUUAAGCACUUGGUAUACAUUAUCUCUUUUAAUCUCCACGGUAAUCCUAAAAGAUGAGUCCAGUUAUUAGCUGUGUCUUACAGGUGUAGAAACCAUAGUUCAGAGAGGUGAGGUUACAAGCCCAGGGUCACACAGCAAACAGUAGUAGAGUCGGUAUUGGAACCCCCGCAGGUUGGCUCCAGGGCCCACACUUCUGGCUACACUGACAAUGAGCUGAGUUGGACCAAUGCUGGGAGAUGAAGGAUAUACAUUCCCUGCCCUUGAGGCCUCAGUUCAGUGGGGAGGACAAUUGGCAUGAAGUGUUGCUUGAUGCUGGGGACCUUGGGUUCCUGGAGACCCACCUCCGUGUACUUGUGACAGCUCUCACUGGUGACUCCUGUGGGCCAGGGCAGCCCCACCUGGCCCUGGGGGUGUGCCCCUGGAUGGGGUUUCUCUGGCUUGGGCGGGGACUGUGUAUCCAGAUAAUGAGCUUCCAGUCAAGUUCAAGAGGCCAGAAGUCUUCUGGGAGCGUGUUGUGCCUGUUUCUGUGUCUCGAGUAAGGACACCCAGUGAGGUCCUCUGGCCUGGGCUGGGGCCUCUGUAGCUCAUUAUGAUAGGUUUGAGCAAAUUAGGAUAAGAGCUUCCCUCCAGAGGAUUGCAGCACUGUGCCAGGGCAUGGCAUGGAGCGUGCCAUGGGUUGUGGUCCCCUCCUCAUCUCUAUAUGUGGUAGCCCUGGUAGGGUCAUAGGGAGGGAGAAGGCGCAGGCUGGGGAGAUCAGAGGUCUUCACAGGGCUCCUUCCUGCAAUGGGAGAAGGAAGGUGUAGGACCUUCGGUUGGUCUCUCAGGAGAGGGAAUAGGGUGACCCUGGGGUGGGGUGUAGACAUGGAGGAAGGGGCUAGAAGGAGCUGCCAAACCAUAAUAAAAGCAUCUCAACAAAAAUCGCUUGUCCAGAUCACACAUCCAGGGGCGAGUGGCAGGGGUGAAAUUUGCAUGCGGGUCUGUCUGACUCCAAAGGUUGGACACCAAACCAUUGCACUCUGCUGCGUCCCCAGAUCUGCUCUGAGGCCCUACUGUGUGCUCGUGGGACAGGGUGAGGCUAUAGGACAGAGGAAGUCACAGGGUACCAAGACAGCUGCUGAUACGAACAAUGCAACAUCAGCAACACACAUGCGCACACGCAGAGCGAAGUGGGCAGGUUUCCUGACGGCACUUUGCAGAUACACAAUUUUCCCUUGGGCCUGACCUUCAGUUUUGCCUUCCUUGUGCUCUUGGCCUCCACUUAGUCCAGCUUAAGGCUGUGCCCUCCACGAUGGCAGGGGCCUCUGUCCCCGGGCCUCAGGCACAGCCCAGCACUGGCAGCCAUGUAGGGUCCCACCCCACGCUCUGUAGGGUCCCCUUGAACCCCCCACCUCCCCUGUAAAUCCACACAACUCCAGCCUGUCUCUGCUCUCCCUGGCCCAUGCCAUCCUUAUUUUCAAGGCCAGAUGGUCUAGAUCAAUUCUGAGGGUCCUUCCAGAAUCCCUUCCCCUCUCUUUCCAUAGAAAUCUCUUGCUCUCUGAAGGCCUAGGUUCUCUUUGACUGUUAUAGGUCUUAAUGAGGACCAACCACAUGCCAUGGGGACCCAAGACACAGGACCCCCCUCUCUUCCCUGAGCCACAUGGGUAAAUUUGUUCCAUCCACCCUGGUGCUGGGGUGGGGACCCUCAGGGAAGGAAGGUAUGGCUAUGGUUGGGCCUCCUGCCUUGAUCUUGGGGAACAGCCAGGUGCUGCUCCCUGAACAGACUCCGGGUGCUGGGGUCAGACCCCAGGGACCAGCCGAAUCCUGCUUUGCACUUAUGUGUUCAGGACAAAACCUGCCCAGACAAGGGGAUACUGAAGCCAGGAGAGGGGAAUGUGUUUGGCUAAGGUCAGAUGGUGAGUUAGUGCCAGGACCAAAAUCUGGCUCCUAUUCUUUUUUUUUAAGGAAGAACUGCAGGUGAUAUGUGCUUGCAGUAAUAAAUGUAACCACUAAGGAAAUAGAAAGUAAAAAGUGAAAGUUU